rnacentral:rRNA from 1 species
CUACGGGAGGCACCAGUGAGGAAUAUUGCACAAUGGGGGGAACCCUGAUGCAGCAACGCCGCGUGGAGGAUGACGCAUUUCGGUGUGUAAACUCCUUUUAUAUGUCAAGAAAAUGACGGUAGCAUAUGAAUAAGCACCGGCUAACUCCGUGCCAGCAGCCGCGGUAAUACGGAGGGUGCAAGAGUUACUCGGAAUCACUGGGCGUAAAGGACGCGUAGGCGGGUUGGAAAGUCAGGUGUGAAAUCCUACAGCUUAACUGUAGAACUGCACUUGAAACUUCUAAUCUAGAGUAUGGGAGGGGGAGAUGGGAUUAGUGGUGUAGGGGUAAAAUCCGUAGAUAUCACUAGGAAUACCUAAAGCGAAGGCGAUCUCCUGGAACAUUACUGACGCUAAGGCGUGAAAGCGUGGGGAGCAAACAGGAUUAGAUACCCGGGUAGUC